UACGGAAGGCAGCAGUGGGGAAUAUUGCACAAUGGGCGAAAGCCUGAUGCAGCUAUGCCGCGUGUAUGAAGAAGGCCUUAGGGUUGUAAAGUACUUUCAUCGGGGAGGAAAAAACAAAACUAAUAAUUUUAUUUCUUGACGUUACCCGAAAAAGAAGCACCGGCUAACUCCGUGCCAGCAGCCGCGGUAAUACGGAGGGUGCUAGCGUUAAUCAGAAUUACUGGGCGUAAAAGAGCACGUAGGUGGUUUUUUUAAGUCAGAUGUGAAAUCCCUGGGCUUAACCUAGGAACUGCAUUUUGAAACUGAAAUACUAGAGUAUCGUAGAGGGAGGUAGAAUUCUAGGUGUAGCGGUGAAAUGCGUAGAUAUCUGGAGGAAUACCUGUGGCGAAAGCGGCCUCCUAAACGAAUACUGACACUGAGGUGCGAAAAGCGUGGGGAGCAAAACAGGGAUUAGAUACC
rnacentral:rRNA from 1 species